UAUAUAGCCCGCUCCUGCCCACACGGCCGCGAGCUCGGAUGACAGCGAAUGCCAUUUAAAGCGUGCGCGCUCCGCGCCCUUCCGCCUGACGUCGCCCCGCCGCUCUGGGAAAGUAACGGCCCUUUCCCCAGCGCCGCCCGCCCCCAGCCAACCCGGCUCCGGAAGGCAGGCCCCGCCCGCGGGGUUCCGGGAGCAUCCGAGGCCCCGGGAGCACGCGGCCGGGCGGGCUGGCCGGAGGGCAGGCGGGAGCCCUCGGAUCGCCGCCCCCUCCCCCGGCUGCCACCGGGCGUCCCGGGAUCCCCAAGUUCGUACCGACAGUGGUGGCCGCGGCGGCGCAGAGAGAAGAACUUUCCCAAGGUCAUGCAGCUAGUCAGCAGCAGAGCUGAGAUUCAAACCCAGGUGGACUUAGCUCCUAAGCCCUCACUCUUAUCUUACCCUGAAGCCCUUUGCCCUAUGGCGUACGAAGAAGGAACCAGAGUGUGACCAAGUGAGAAGAGGGCGUUUCAGGCAAAGGGAACCCUAGUGCAAAGGUCUCUAUUAUAUCAACUCAGCGUUGUCCUAACCAAGACAGCCAUUAGACAGCCAAGUGAAGAGCUCAAGCAGGACAUUGGGAGAACUCAGGGAAGAGUGUGGUCUGCCUUCCCCACUGGACUAGACUGCCAGUCUCUGCCUUUCCCCAGCGGCCAGGCCAGUGCUCUGGGUUCCUCCUGAGUGACCACCACUCUGCUCCUCCUCCCCGUGACCUCUGCUCCUGUGGCUCCUGGCAAUGAACAAGGGGGGCGGGGACAACAUCAUCUCCACCAGGGCUUCUUCCCAGCACACACACGGCUCUUCCAGACCCCAAAUGCCCAGGCCAGGGACUGGGGUACCCUGGGUCACCCCUCUCAGCUGCUCUGGAUACAAGGCUCCCCCAACCCCAGCUCCAGGGUGGUAAAAGUAGGAAAGGAGGUCUGUGCUUCACAGCAAUGGUCCCAGGUUAUCAAGGACAUCAGCCCUCUUUGCUUCCACUCUGCCCAGAAGGAUGGCUUUGGGCCCUACUCACAGCGGGCUUCCAGGAAGAGAAGGGAGGGUAGAGAGAGGUCCUCCCCCCAAGGACGGAAUCUGAGCUCCCACAUGACCUAGAUUCCUCCCUUCUUAUCACUGACCCCCACCUCCCCCAUCCACGGCUCUCUACCUCUCAGGAUGUCUCCAGGACCAACCCUAGUCCUCGCUGGCUUUUUCAGAUGUUCUGUGUCCUCCAGAGCCUCAGGAGUCGGCUGUCAGGUCAGGAGAACACAGAGCUAGAUUAAACCCCACUCCAUCCUGA